GAUGAAGAACGUAGCAAAAUGCGAUAAGUAAUGUGAAUUGCAGAAUUCAGUGAAUCAUCGAAUCUUUGAACGCACAUUGCGCCCCCUGGUAUUCCGGGGGGCAUGCCUGUUCGAGCGUCAUUUCACCACUCAAGCCUCGCUUGGUAUUGGGCAACGCGGUCCGCCGCGUGCCUCAAAUCGACCGGCUGGGUCUUCUGUCCCCUAAGCGUUGUGGAAACUAUUCGCUAAAGGGUGUUCGGGAGGCUACGCCGUAAAACAACCCCAUUUCUAAGGUUGACCUCGGAUCAGGUAGGGAUACCCGCUGAACUUAAGCAUAUCAAUAAGCGGAGGA
rnacentral:misc_RNA from 1 species